rnacentral:rRNA from 1 species
UACGGAGGGUGCUAGCGUUGUUCGGAAUCACUGGGCGUAAAGGGCGUGUAGGCGGUCUGUUAAGUCUGAUGUGAAAUCCCCUCGCUCAACGAGGGAACUGCGUCGGAUACUGGCAGACUCGAGUACCGGAGAGGAAGGUGGAAUUCCCGGUGUAGUGGUGGAAUGCGUAGAUAUCGGGAGGAACACCAGUGGCGAAGGCGGUUACCUGGAGCUUUGCUGACGCUGAUGCGCGAAAGCGUGGGGAGCGAUCCGG